rnacentral:piRNA from 1 species
UCCCUACCGUUGAACUGUGACUUUACUUGU